rnacentral:lncRNA from 1 species
CGACAGAGUCCGAUUGACGAUCCGAGCGCACCUACAAACUCGAGAUAACACGCAGAUGAUGAUUCUAGCAUCCGAUUCUUCGAUUUAGUCCUCAAUUAAUCCCGAAAUCUCACUGACAAUUUUCAACUAUUGAUUUUCCAACGGAGUCCAAUCACCGGGAAAUUGGUGUGAUUGGAAAGCUUGUGAUGUAUAGUUUUUGAAUAUGUCCUCUAAUCAUCUGAAGCUCAAUGGCAUUGGCCAAAAAGUUCAAAAAUUCGAACUACCCCUUCUAGCUUUCCUUGGUCGGAUCUCUCUUCUCUGGCCACUAUUACUGCUGCUACUGCCCCCAAAAGGAAACCCACACUCAAAAGAGUUGAUCGCCACCAAAAAAGGCUGUUGGCACCGCCAGAAACGCCAUAAACGGCUUUGAAGAGCUACUGUCCUUGCCAUUUUUGUCACCACGCCGUUAGAGCUGCUGCAGUCACUUCCACAAAGCUCGUCGUUGACAGCUGCUUCUCCUGCCAGCUUCACCUUACCUUAGGCCCCUUCCUCAGCCUUCUGCCAUUAAAGAUAGCCUAGCUCUCUCUCCCCCUUCUUCUCUUCUUCUUCGUCUCCUUCUUCUCCUAUCCUGUCUUUUUUUUUCUUUCUUUUCGUAUCCCGAUUUAGUCCCUUCAUUCUAUGGUUAAAGA